rnacentral:rRNA from 2 species
CCUACGGGAGGCAGCAGUGGGGAAUAUUGCACAAUGGGCGCAAGCCUGAUGCAGCAACGCCGCGUGAGGGAUGAAGGCCUUCGGGUUGUAAACCUCUUUUAGCAGGGAAGAAGCGAAAGUGACGGUACCUGCAGAAAAAGCACCGGCUAACUACGUGCCAGCAGCCGCGGUAAUACGUAGGGUGCAAGCGUUGUCCGGAAUUAUUGGGCGUAAAGAGCUCGUAGGCGGUUUGUCACGUCUGCUGUGAAAAUCCAAGGCUCAACCUUGGACUUGCAGUGGGUACGGGCAGGCUAGAGUGCGGUAGGGGAGAUGGGAAUUCCUGGUGUAGCGGUGGAAUGCGCAGAUAUCAGGAGGAACACCAAUGGCGAAGGCACAUCUCUGGGCCGUAACUGACGCUGAGGAGCGAAAGCGUGGGGAGCGAACAGGAUUAGAUACCCUGGUAGUCCACGCCGUAAACGGUGGGUGCUAGCUGUGGGCCACAUUCCACGUGGUCCGUGACGAAGUUAACACAUUAAGCACCCCGCCUGGGGAGUACGGCCGCAAGGCUAAAACUCAAAGGAAUUGACGG